UGGGGAAUUUUGGACAAUGGGCGCAAGCCUGAUCCAGCCAUUCCGCGUGCAGGAUGAAGGCCCUCGGGUUGUAAACUGCUUUUGUACGGAACGAAACGGUCCGAGCUAAUACCUCGGGCUAAUGACGGUACCGUAAGAAUAAGCACCGGCUAACUACGUGCCAGCAGCCGCGGUAAUACGUAGGGUGCAAGCGUUAAUCGGAAUUACUGGGCGUAAAGCGUGCGCAGGCGGUUAUGUAAGACAGGUGUGAAAUCCCCGGGCUUAACCUGGGAACUGCAUUUGUGACUGCAUAGCUAGAGUACGGUAGAGGGGGAUGGAAUUCCGCGUGUAGCAGUGAAAUGCGUAGAUAUGUGGAGGAAUACCGAUGGCGAAGGCAGCCCCCUGGGAUAACACUGACGCUCAUGCACGAAAGCGUGGGGAGCAAACAGGAUUAGAUACCCCCGUAGUCCCUGAGCGGGCUGGCAAGGCGCAU
rnacentral:rRNA from 1 species